AUUUUACACGAAUAUUUUCAUAUCUUAGCAUGUUUGUUUUUUGAAAAUAAAUAAUUUACAUAAUAAAAAAACUAUAGUUAAUAUCUUAUUUGCAAGAAAAUAUUUUAUAUUCAUAAAGUCACCACCACUUUUUUUUCACUAUUGUCGUCAUUUAAAAAUUAUUUUAUAUGUAAUUACAAGAAAAUAUUUAUUAAAUUAAAUAUUAAAAUAUUUUGUUUAAUAAAUGGAUGCGCUAAUUUUUAGUUUUUAAUUAAUACGAAUAUUUGGAUUAAUUUAAUAAUUUUUAAAAAACAAAUUUAAAAUUUGAAGUGAGGUUGAAAGUUGAAAUUAGCCCAGCACACGGCCCAUUCCGUAUAAAAAGAAGAGCCGUAGGCCCCCUAGAUAAGGCCCAUAUGUAGCGGCUGCAACAGCCCCCGGGGGUUCUUGGAUUAGGGUUUUCCGUGCCCCUCCCUCUUAACUCUCAGCUAUAUAUAACAAGAGAAGCAGCAGAACUAGAAGCAGCAGCGGGGCUAACCAGGAUAACACUUUCUGCAUCUUCUCUUAGGUUUAGCAUACAUGCCUGAUAUUGCAAUUCUUUGGUCUUAAUCAAUAGAUUAUUGGCCAAAGAAUCUAUCGUCAGGCAAUAGUGAUGUAUAUCUGUAUGUAUAUACAUGCAUGCAUUUUCUACCUUUAGCUCCGACUGUCCAUUUUUUCUCUUGAAGAAAUUGUUUUUAGGGUUUGUUGGUGACAAGGGUGGUUUUGGUCUAAUCUUGCCAGCGGAUGACGACGACGAAGAAGAGGAGGAGGACAGUUGUAUGGAUGGAUAACCAGAGGAAAGGCAAGCCAUUUUUACUGUUAUUUUAGCUUCAUUCAAGAAAAAAUGGCACCUUUUAAAUGGUGCAGAUGAAUCUAUUGAUUUUCGAAUUUAUACUAUUUUCUCAUUCCUCACAAGAAGUAGAAUACAAGUUAAAAGUUCUUCAUAUGAGUUGUCUUUCCCUGCAUUGAUCAACAGGAAUCGAUGCUAGGUUCCUGAAUAUUGUCCUCGGCAGCCAGAUCAGCCGAACGAAUCCAUAAUUUAAGGCUCCAACUCCCAAAAUGAAAGGCUCCCGCACCGUUUAGUUUGGCUUCCCUAGAAUUGGACUGGAAGGGUUUUAUUUUCAUCAUUUAGUGGAUGGAAAUUAGCAUCUUAAUCCUGGGGUUCAUACAUACAGAUAUACGAAGUUAGCUUGUUAGCAUGGAGCACCUGCCUCGCAACAAAACAAGGAGACUUGACAACCCCAAUAGAGCUCGAGCAAUUCAAAACUUGAUUUACCUCAUUGAAGUAUAAAGAACAGAAAAAAAACUACCAAGAACUUGACAAGAAAACAUGGACUGGAAAUCGAAUAUAGAAACCAAAUGGAAAGAAGAAUACGAAAUGGGUAUUGCUAGAAACUUACCGAGGGUCGGUUUAGAAUGCGUUAUGGAGAGCUUCACUGAUGCCAGAACUAAGAUUCAUUGAUUUCCCUGUUUACUGUAACUGCUUUUGUUCUCAUCGCUGUUUUUGAAAAACGUUAAUGCCUUGACAAGUUGAGAAUUCAA